rnacentral:ribozyme from 13 species
AAAACAGAAGAGAGAAAAGAAAGAAGAGAUGUCAAAAGUUUUUUGUUUUGGAGUUUUUUUUUGUUUUUGGAGUUUUCUUUUUUAAAUUUUGUUUAGUGGAGAAGUAAUCAUAUAAGAAAGAUC